UGACCCAGCAUGAGCAAGCACAAGUAGACUCCCCUGAACUGGGCUCGAAGUCCAGCUGGAAACAAGGGUGCAGAGGAGGAGCAGACACCCAGAGAUGAACACAACAGUUAAAGAUUCCUGAGGGAGAGAUAAAACACUGGAAAAGCUGCUAAGGACCCUGCGCAGGGCCCCUGAGGGACAAGGGCUGGAGAGAUGGGACCAGAGAAGACAAAGAAGACAAAUGCACACCCAAACCCAAAACAAGAGGAGACUUGCCUCGCUGCUUCCUAGUGAGAGAAGGAGCCUGGUUGACCCUGGUUUGCUGGUGCUAAGAGACUGGGUGCUGUAGCUUGAAGAUGUUGACUUUCUUCCAGGCCCACUGCACUACCUGCCACUCCAAGCAUGGCUUUCAGUAACAGCUCCCCAGCCCUGACAGUGCUGGGGAUGUCUCCCUAGGAGCAAUGACUCCCAAGUGAUGACGGCUCCAUCCCCAGGGCUUUGAUGGAAGAGUCUGGGCAGACUGACUUCAGCACAGUGACUUCAGAGCAUACUUCCUAGGGCAGUUGCAGUCUUAUGACUCCAAUGUAAGCUCUCUCAUGCAAG